rnacentral:rRNA from 1 species
AUUGAACGCUGGCGGCAGGCCUAACACAUGCAAGUCGAGCGGAGCGGCGGACGGGUGAGUAAUGUCUGGGUAACUGCCUGAUGGAGGGGGCUAACUACUGGAAACGGGCGCUACUACCGCAUACUAUCAGAUGAGCCUAGGUCGGAUUAGCUAGUUGGUGGGGUAAAGGCCUACCAAGGCGACGAUCCGUACCUGGUCUGGGAGGAUGAUCAGUCACACUGGAACGUAGACACGGCCCAGACUCCUACGGGAGGCAGCAGGGGGGAAUAUUGGACAAUGGGCGAAAGCCUGAUCCAGCCAUGCCGCGUGUGUGAAGAAGGUCUUCGGAUUGUAAAGCACUUUAAGUUGGGAGGCGGUACCAACAGAAUAAGCACCGGCUAACUUCGUGCCAGCAGCCGCGGUAAUUC